GAAGGCUGCUGGCGGAAAAAUGACGGAAAAGAAAAAGGUAGAGGCAUCCUGGUUGGCUACCCCAGCUUUCAUCCAGAAACAGUCGCCUUCCAAAAGCCAACACAAUAUUAGUCACAUGUUAAUGCCUAUCUAUAUAAUGCUGGUUGGUGUAUAUGAAAAGCAAACAAUUCUGGGAGCAAAACCUGAAGCACAAAGGUGUGUUUAUUUCGCAUAUCAAGAAUUGUCUCAAUUUUGAAGUUAACAUCACCAACCUUCCAUGGUGGCGACUCAACCAAUACAGUAAAAUGCUAUCCUAGAAGUGAUCAGUGCUAGAAAUUACACAACUAUCCCGACAUUAUCUCUAUUGACAUAGCAGUGUUU